GCGCCCGUAGCUCAGCUUGGAUAGAGCGGCAGGUUCCUAACCUGAAGAUCGUGGGUUCGAAUCCCAUCGGGCGCG
rnacentral:tRNA from 1 species